rnacentral:rRNA from 1 species
AGUGAACGCUGGCGGUAGGCCUAACACAUGCAAGUCGAACGGCAGCACAGUAAGAGCUUGCUCUUACGGGUGGCGAGUGGCGGACGGGUGAGGAAUACAUCGGAAUCUACUUUUUCGUGGGGGAUAACGUAGGGAAACUUACGCUAAUACCGCAUACGACCUACGGGUCAAAGCAGGGGAUCUUCGGACCUUGCGCGAUUGAAUGAGCCGAUGUCGGAUUAGCUAGUUAGCGGGGUAAAGGCCCACCAAGGCGACGAUCCGUAGCUGGUCUGAGAGGAUGAUCAGCCACACUGGAACUGAGACACGGUCCAGACUCCUACGGGAGGCAGCAGUGGGGAAUAUUGGACAAUGGGCGCAAGCCUGAUCCAGCCAUACCGCGUGGGUGAAGAAGGCCUUCGGGUUGUAAAGCCCUUUUGUUGGGAAAGAAAAGCAGCAGGUUAAUACCCCGCUGUUCUGACGGUACCCAAAGAAUAAGCACCGGCUAACUUCGU